CAGCUCAAGGUAAAACAACAACAGCAGUGAUUUCAGUCCACAUCACAAACUCUCAGGAUCAUGAAACUACAAAAUCACCAGAAACUACAGAUCAAGUGACAGUGAUUUCUGUUUCUGUCGCUGCAUUUGUUGUUUUUCUUCUUGUUGUUCUCUGGCUGAUCUGCAGAAAAAGAGCUGAUAAUAAAAUGGGGACUUAUGAAUCAGUGGUCAAAGGUGAGAAUGAAGAUAAAGUGACGUAUGAAACAAUCAACAUGUCCAUUCCUGCUGCUGCUAGAGACAAUGAGCAGACAGAUGAUGUGACUUAUUCUGAAGUCUCUUCUUCCAGUAAAAAGCCAGUAAAAUCACUCAAUGAUCAUAAUGAUACAGUGACUUACGCUGCCAUCAGAUGAACAGAAAAUGAGCCGCGGGAUGAACUUUACACCUCUGUGAACAAGAACAAGAACAAAUAAACAUUAAUGACACAGAUCACUGCUGGAGCUCAUCAUAUCAGCAGCAGACGGGACGUUUCUCCAGACGCUAAUAUUCACAACUCUGGUGUUUGGAAGAAUUAGAUAUUUGUGUGAACAAACAAAACAAUAUAUGGUCUUCUCCAGGUAAUAAUUAAAGUAUAUUAAUGAUACCGUGGUAAAUGACAGCAUUAAUUACAGUACAGAAACGAUAAAUUAUAUUUUCUGCCUUAUUCUGUGAUAGAAAUGGAAAAAGUGUUUGUUUUAGCAUAAAUUAUUAUACUGAUUAUACAAUCAUAACCAUAAAAUUGUCAUUAGUAAAAUAUAGAACAAAAAUACUAUAGAAGACAAAUUAUUGUUUUGUCCAGCAGUGUAUUUUAUUUCUUAGCCAAUUCAAAGUAAGAGAUAAGAAAAUUUUG